ACUUAUAUAAUUUAAGAUUAGAAUUUUGCUUUGAAGCAGCAACGGUGGCAAAUUUGCCUGUAAGUAA
rnacentral:tRNA from 1 species